AUUGAACGCUGGCGGCAUGCUUUACACAUGCAAGUCGAACGGCAGCGGGGGCUUCGGCCUGCCGGCGAGUGGCGAACGGGUGAGUAAUGCAUCGGAACGUGCCCAGUCGUGGGGGAUAACACAUCGAAAGAUGUGCUAAUACCGCAUACGUCCUGAGGGAGAAAGCGGGGGAUCUUCGGACCUCGCGCGAUUGGAGCGGCCGAUGUCGGAUUAGCUAGUUGGUGGGGUAAAAGCCCACCAAGGCGACGAUCCGUAGCGGGUCUGAGAGGAUGAUCCGCCACACUGGGACUGAGACACGGCCCAGACUCCUACGGGAGGCAGCAGUGGGGAAUUUUGGACAAUGGGGGCAACCCUGAUGCAGCGACGCCGCGUGAGUGAAGACGGCC
rnacentral:rRNA from 1 species